CGACAUCGAUAUUUUCGAUGCAUUGAUGUUUUUUCGACAUUCCUAGUUCCAGCCAGUCAGCUAAUCUUUUCAGGAAAAUAGGCGAUUAAUUGAUAUCAUUUUCCAUAAAUAUAUUUAUUGUUGCAAAGAUAAAAGUGCAAAUUUAGUAGUAAUCGGAAGUUUCGAGCAACGCAAUACUACAAAACUGAUGUUGGUAAUUAAUUGCGUGGAUUUACAUUCUGCCUGAACCUGUGGAUAUUAUUGCGAGAAAAUUUCUGUGCACUGUAGCAAACGCCAAGAAAAGCCAUUGUUGAAAGAAUCGGA